AGUGAACGCUGGCGGCGUGCCUAAUACAUGCAAGUCGAACGGAGUGGCGCACGGGUGAGUAAUGUAUAGCUAAGCUGCCCUACACUAGAGGACAACAGUUGGAAACGACUGCUAAUACUCUAUAGUGUAGGUUGAGGCUAUAUUGUUUCAUCUAGUUGGUGAGGUAAUGUCUCACCAAGGCUAUGACGAAUAACUUGUGUGAGAGGAUGAUCAGUCGCACCGUACGUGAGACACGAUCCGGUCUCCUACGGCAGGCAGCGGUAGGGAGUAUUGCUCAAUGGGGGUGACCCCGAAGCGGCAACGCCGCGUGGAGGAUGACACUUUUCGGAGCGUAGACUCCUUUUGUUAGGGAAGCGGUACCUAACGAAUAAGCACCGGCUAACUCCGUGCCAGCAGCCGCGGUAAUAC
rnacentral:rRNA from 1 species